rfam:Ictidomys tridecemlineatus contig025479, whole genome shotgun sequence.
GGGGGUAUAGCUCAGUGGCAGAGCACUUGUCUUGCACAUGUGAGGCACUGAGUUCGAUCCUCAGCACCACAU